AUAUGCGGAGAAUUCUUAAUUAGUUAACCAGUAGUGGCAGUUGCUUAGUGCUUCCUAUAAUGAAGAAUUUGUUAUGCACUAUUCAUCAGCUAGCAAUCUCAUAGCGUCUUGCUUAGAGGGCAGUAAAACGCUCUAGGUGAACUUCUUUACUGUUCUACUUGAUUUCUCUUUGACAGGUCAGUAAUCUUCUCCUAUUUGUACUGGACCCAUUUCGUUUCUACAGGCCGUCAAUCAUCUCCUCUUCACCACAACGAUACCCCGCCCCUUUUUUCAGAUUCUCUGCCAUUUUAAUGGCUUUAAUCACUUAACUUUCGUGUGUCGAAUCUGAUGUGUGUCCAAGUUUUUCAUGGAAGUGGUGUCGCUGCCUGCUGCUCACUAAUCUCCUACAUCGUCCUGACUCCUAAGGGAAGGGAUUCACAGUAGUAUAAGGAAGGAUGCAUGUCUAUUACCAUGGAACAAGUGUUAGAUCGAUACUAGGUACAUGAUACCAAUUACAGCAGCACGUGCAGGCUCCAGUGUUGAGAUGGUGUUUUCGAGUUUUUGUUUGUAGAAAGCACUGAUUCUUUGUGGCUGAAUCUUAUGCUCAUGUCCAGUACAGUAGCUAAAAUCUCUGGCUUAUUUGUUUGGAAAUAUGUUACUCAGAUGCCACUGUGUCGUGCUACUCUUU